UAAGGAAUAUUGGUCAAUGGACGCAAGUCUGAACCAGCCAUGCCGCGUGAAGGAUGAAGGUCCUCUGGAUUGUAAACUUCUUUUAUCUGGGACGAAAACGGGAUUUUUAUCUCAAUUGACGGUACCAGAGGAAUAAGCACCGGCUAACUCCGUGCCAGCAGCCGCGGUAAUACGGAGGGUGCGAGCGUUAUCCGGAUUUACUGGGUUUAAAGGGUGCGUAGGUGGGCCUAUAAGUCAGUGGUGAAAUCUCCGAGCUUAACUUGGAAACUGCCGUUGAUACUAUAGGUCUUGAAUUAUCUGGAGGUCAGCGGAAUAUGUCAUGUAGCGGUGAAAUGCUUAGAUAUGACAUAGAACACCAAUUGCGAAGGCAGCUUACUACAUAUAAAUUGACGCUGAGGCACGAAAGCGUGGGGAUCAAACA
rnacentral:rRNA from 1 species